rnacentral:rRNA from 1 species
AACGAACGCUGGCGGCAUGCCUAACACAUGCAAGUCGAACGAGACCUUCGGGUGUAGUGGCGCACGGGUGCGUAACGCGUCGGAACCUGCCCUUAGGUUCGGCAUAACUCCCCGAAAGGGGUGCUAAUACCGGAUAAUGUCUUCGGCCCAAAGAUUUAUCGCCUUUGGAUGGUCCCGCGUUGGAUUAGCUAGUUGGUAGGGUAAAAGCCUACCAAGGCGACGAUCCAUAGCUGGUCUGAGAGGAUGAUCAGCCACACUGGGACUGAGACACGGCCCAGACUCCUACGGGAGGCAGCAGUGGGGAAUAUUGGACAAUGGGCGAAAGCCUGAUCCAGCAAUGCCGCGUGAGUGAUGAAGGCCUUAGGGUUGUAAAGCUCUUUUACCCGGGAUGAUAAUGACAGUACCGGGAGAAUAAGCUCCGGCUAACUCCGUG